rnacentral:rRNA from 1 species
UACGUAGGGGGCUAGCGUUGUCCGGAAUCAUUGGGCGUAAAGAGCGUGUAGGCGGCCCGGUAAGUCCGCCGUGAAAGUCCAGGGCUCAACCCUGGAAUGCCGGUGGAAACUGCCGGGCUGGAGUCCGGAAGAGGCGAGUGGAAUUCCUGGUGUAGCGGUGAAAUGCGCAGAUAUCAGGAGGAACACCAAUGGCGAAGGCAGCUCGCUGGGACGGUACUGACGCUGAGACGCGAAAGCGUGGGGAGCAAACAGG